GGGCGGGUGGUGGAACGGCAGACACACAUGCCUUAGGAGCAUGGGCCGCAAGGCAUGAGGGUUCGAAUCCCUCCCCGCCCA
rnacentral:tRNA from 1 species